rnacentral:rRNA from 1 species
AUCGACCGCCUGGGGAGUACGGCCGCAAGGUUAAAACUCAAAUGAAUUGACGGGGGCCCGCACAAGCGGUGGAGCAUGUGGUUUAAUUCGAUGCAACGCGAAGAACCUUACCUGGUCUUGACAUCCACAGAACUUAGCAGAGAUGCUUUGGUGCCUUCGGGAACUGUGAGACAGGUGCUGCAUGGCUGUCGUCAGCUCGUGUUGUGAAAUGUUGGGUUAAGUCCCGCAACGAGCGCAACCCUUAUCCUUUGUUGCCAGCGGUYMGGCCGGGAACUCAAAGGAGACUGCCAGUGAUAAACUGGAGGAAGGUGGGGAUGACGUCAAGUCAUCAUGGCCCUUACGACCAGGGCUACACACGUGCUACAAUGGCAUAUACAAAGAGAAGCGACCUCGCGAGAGCAAGCGGACCUCA